rnacentral:rRNA from 1 species
AGAGUUUGAUCCUGGCUCAGAACGAACGCUGGCGGCGUACUUAACACAUGCAAGUCGAACGAGAACAGAAGCUUCGGCUUCCAAGUACAGUGGCGAACGGGUGCGUAACACGUAAGCAAUCUACCCCAGACAUUGGGAUAACUUCUCGAAAGGGGAGCUAAUACCGAAUAGUUCCCAAUAGCACAAGCUGUGGGGGGAAAGCGGGCCUCUAAACUAUGCUCGCGGUCUGGGAUGAGCUUGCGGUCCAUUAGCUUGUUGGUGGGGUAACGGCUUACCAAGGCAACGAUGGAUAGCUGGUCUGAGAGGAUGAUCAGCCACACUGGCACUGAGACACGGGCCAGACUCCUACGGGAGGCAGCAGUGGGGAAUUUUGCGCAAUGGGCGAAAGCCUGACGCAGUAACGCCGCGUGGAGGAUGAAGGCCUUUGGGUUGUAAACUCCUGCCAGGGGGGAAGAUAGCAUUGUUGCAAAUAGUUUCAGUGCUAUGACGGUACCCCCAAAGGAAGCCCCGGCUAAUUCCGUGCCAGCAACCGCGGUAAUACGGAAGGGGCAAGCGUUGUUCGGAAUUAUUGGGCGUAAAGGGCGCGUA